rnacentral:rRNA from 1 species
UAGCGACCAUAGCGUUGUGGACCCACCUGAUCCCAUGCCGAACUCAGAAGUGAAACACAAUAGCGCCGAUGGUAGUGUGGGGUCUCCCCAUGUGAGAGUAGGACAUCGCUA